UACGUAGGGCGCAAGCGUUGUCCGGAAUUAUUGGGCGUAAAGAGCUCGUAGGUGGUUUGUCGCGUCUGCCGUGAAAGCCCGGGGCUUAACUCCGGGUCUGCGGUGGAUACGGGCAGACUAGAGGCAGGUAGGGGAGAACGGAAUUCCUGGUGUAGCGGUGAAAUGCGCAGAUAUCGGGAGGAACACCGGUGGCGAAGGCGGUUCUCUGGGCCUGUACUGACGCUGAGACGCGAAAGCGUGGGGAGCAAACAGG
rnacentral:rRNA from 1 species